rnacentral:lncRNA from 1 species
GAUAGAGCCGGCUUCCAACUUUUGGUCGUUCUUCGGGGUGAGACGUAGUUCCCCAGAACCGCCGCCUCCCGGGACCAGGGUCAGGGUAGGGGAUCCGGACUCGACCUGGCGCACUGAGGUGACGUACUGAGGUGGAGCGACCUCGUGUUACCGUCGUUCUUGCUUGAAGUCAAAGGAGUGGGGCCCUGACUGGGAAGGACUCUUCGGCGUGGAGAUUUGCUGGGACCCCGACUGGGAACUCGUCCCAACCCUGGAGUAAGCCUUGGAGGCUUCGGGGAUUUUAAUGUCGUAGCUGCCGAGAGUUUUGAGUUCCGGGGGAGAAGGGUAAGAUGAAGGAGACUAUUCUUUGCCCUUUUGCUUUUUGGGGGGGGGCGGGUACAGGGGAUCGAACUCACAACCUUGCGCUUGCGCGACGGGCCCAGUGCCACUCAGUUAAAUUCCCGGCCCUCCUCUUUUCUCUCUAAUAUCUUGGGUCUUGUAUCUGCACCGUGGCUGCCCUAGGGCUGGGCGACUGUCCUCCCGUCCCUUUCCAGCACGUGGCUCCCUGUGCUGGAAAGAGUGUAAAGUGACCAGAACAACCUCCGCAUCCUCUUUCCCAGUAGUGAUGGGAUCAUGAGAGGAGGCGGGUGUGUGCAAAGUCUAAGUGGCCCAGGCCGGACUCGACCUUUCCAACCUCCUGCCUCAGUCUCCCAAGAGUGGUGCGAUAACAGGCGUGCACCACCAUCCUAUUUCUUUCUCUUAAGGCCUGAAACUAUAACGUUAAUAUAAAUGUUACACUUUGAGGGCCGCACUGGGGAUUGGGACCUAGGGGCGCUCUACCAAUGAGCUACAUUCCCAGCCCCUUUAAGUCAAGAUCUUACUGAAUUGCCCAUGAGGCUUUGAAUUUGUGAUCUUCCCUCCUGAGAAGCUGGAAUUAGAAGUAUAUGCCACCACUCCCGGCUUGAAUUUCAUAAAUUUUAAUUAUCUACUAUUCCUGAGUAGGUAUGCCACAAAGGUUAACGACUGGGUGCCUACUCUUACACAGUGUCCCACAAAGUGGAAAAUUAGAAGAGACAAUCUGGGAAUCUCUCAAUUUUCAGCUACUUUACUCACACACUGUAGCCCAGAAAAUCUGAACACAUUCCCUGACUUACAAUUUUGCCCCCCAGAUCAAGCUUUGUUGGAUAGCAAAAAUGUUAGUACAGCCUUAAUUACUGUCUUGUCGCUCUCUACUCAACCUCUCCUGGGCUGCAGUUCUUCCUUUUACGGUUUUUCAUCAGGGCCCCAAAAUGCAAGAGAAAUGAUGCUGGCAAUGUGGAUCUGCCAAAGAGAAGCGGUCGGGCUUAAAGUAUUAAGUGCUUCCUUUCAGAAUUAUCUCACAUCAUCACAAGAAGAAGGGGGAGAAAAAGGAUAG